rnacentral:rRNA from 1 species
AGUUCGGAUUGAAGGCUGAAAUUCGCCUUCAUGAAGCUGGAAUUGCUAGUAAUGGCAGGUCAGCAUACUGCCGUGAAUACGUUCCCGGGCCUUGUACACACCGCCCGUCACACCAUGAGAGUUGGAAAUACCCGAAGCCUGUGAGCUAACUGUAAAGAGGCAGCAGUCGAAGGUAGAGCCAAUGAUUGGGGUGAAGUCGUAACAAGGUAGC